AUGGCGGACUGGCGCCAGCGCCACCCGGAGGACGUCGCCUACGAGCAAGCCUACUGGGCAAGGCGCCGCGAGGAGGACACGCAAAGGCGCCACGCGUCGCGGUUGGACAGGCGUCGGUGGAAGGCGUUGGCGAAUGCGCAGUCCGACCUCGUUGCAGCAGGUGGGCGGUCGUUCUUCACGCCGAACGAUGAGCGGUAG
rnacentral:rRNA from 1 species